rnacentral:lncRNA from 1 species
CAACAGCUGAGGUGAAGAUAUGUUCUAAACUGCAAAUGGAUUCUCUAGAUUGAACAUAUCUUACUUACUAGUUAAUAAUGUUAUCUCAAUUGGAUAAGAUGAUAAUGGCCAUUCAUAUUAGAAUAUGACGAAUGGCACAAAUUAUAUUCUGCUUGAUGCAAGUACAUAUUGAUGUGGUCCUCUUUUCAGACUUGCUCAGGCCCUGGGCUCCUAAACAGUCUCUGACUGCUUUGUCUGUUGGAAGUAUAUUAUUUUCUUUUUCCAAUUCAUAUAUGUUGUUGACAUGGCUAUUUCAAGGAGUUGUACGUAGGUCUAGUGCUUGGUAUGUUGUCCGGAGGUACAAAUCCUUGGUUUAAUCCCACUAAUAUGUCUUUUUUGAAUGAACAAGAUGGUCAGAGAUCGUCAGUAAUUUUAUUGAAAGUUUGUGUAUAUAUGAAGAUAUUUUUGUUUUCCAGAUCACUUUCCGUUUUGUAUGAGUUUGCAUUUAGUAGGAAAAGUGGUAGAUUAGUGUAACAGUGAGCAAGUGAUCAAAGAUGAGAAGUUGAGCAUCGGUUACACUAAUUUUUAGCUGUCCGAUUAUUUUAUAUAACUACACUCAUCGAGGGAUUCAUGGAAGAACUGGAGAUACAGUGAGUAGGAUCCAUCAAGACAGCCCCAAGUAGAUAUGCUUGUUUGUUAUGUUGUUGUGGAAAAUCUACCUGGCAAUUUGUCUCAUUGUGGAUAUCCAAAAGCUGAUACAUUGGCUAAUGAAGGGGCCCGUGGAGAGUACACUCAUAACUACGGCUAAUUGUGGGGACGCGGGACCCCAUCUGACGUUGUUUUAAGCUUGAACCGCAUGACUGUUUGUUACUUUAAUGCAUCUGUUUUCAUUCUGUAACAUUACCAGAAUGAAACAGCUUGUUCUUGUAGUUAUGAUGUUAUCAUAUAAAAGCAGCCUUUCCUGAAUUCCAGUCUUUCAGAAUUCAUGGUCAUUAUGCUUUUAAUGAUUCAUAGGGCGAAAACAGAAUUUUCAAACUCCACAAGACUUUUCCAGGUGAGCUCACUAUCCCUUACGUCCACCAUGUCCAGGAUCAUUCUUGAGACUUGAAAACGUAAUUGGGGAAUAUUUGCUUCACUUUCCGUUGUUUCAUUCCGGUGA